UGAGUAACGAAAACAUUGGUGAGAAUCCAAUGCCCCGAAAACCCAAGGUUUCCUCCGCAAGGUUCGUCCACGGAGGGUGAGUCAGGGCCUAAGAUCAGGGCGAA
rnacentral:ncRNA from 1 species